UUUUCUUAAAACAAUUAAGCCUAA
rnacentral:snRNA from 1 species